CGAGCCGGCCGGGCGGCCGCGUCGGGCCCGCGAGGGCCCGCCGAGGAAGGUCCGGGCUCCACAGGGCAGGGUGGUCGGUAACGCCGACCCGGGGUGACCCGCGGGACAGUGCCACAGAGAGCAGACCGCCUCCCCUCCGGGGGAGGUAAGGGUGAAAGGGUGGUGUAAGAGACCACCAGCGCCCACGGUGACGUGGGCGGCUCGGUAAACCCCACCCGGAGCAAGGUCAAGAAGGGACACUCCACGGAGCGUCCCGCGCGCGGCGUUCGAGGGUAGCCCGCCCGAGCCGCGCGGGUAGACCGCUUGAGGCCGCCGGCAACGGCGGUCCUAGAUGGAUGGCCGCCCCUUCGGCGACGAAGGACAGAACCCGGCCUACAGGCCGGCUCGUCAC
rnacentral:RNase_P_RNA from 1 species